GCGGCGCCUUCCCUCCUCCCGCCUCCCCCUGGACAGCUCGGCCGCAGCCGCGCCCCCCUCCCCAGCCUCGCUCGUCGACCGCUCCCCACCGUGGCCGUGGCCUCUCCGUGGGAUGGGUCUCAGCUGCUGCUGUCGGGGUGAGGGAACCAGCCUAAGCUGGGAUGCACAGGUGCAGCGGCUGCCCCGCCUUGCCCUGAUGCAGCCGCCGGCCUCAGCCAGCUUCUUCAACGUGGUGGCCAUGCAUCUCUGUCCUGCACUCUUCUCAGGUGUGAAGUGACGUGCUGCUGUGCGUUUUCCGGUGCGUGUGCGUUGAACUCAGGACCUGGCGUGUCCUCCGCAGGCUCUCUCUACCGCUGAGCUUUAGAGGACAGAGGUGUUGCUCCUAUUGUUCUGCAUUUACCGUGCGACUAAGGAUAUCAACCGUCUUCUCAUGCACCUUUGGAAAGUCACUGGAGCAGGAGCAGCAGGAAAACGAGAAGGCUGGUAACAUUGCACCGCAGUCAAGAUGCAGACAGCGCUGAACGCUGGUGUGUGCUCAUCGCCUUUUUAUUCCGUCUGGAAUCCUAGCCCCUGCAGUCAUGCUGCCCACAUUUAAAGCACGUCUUCCCUUCUCAGCUAAACUAUUCCAGAAACGGCCUUACAAACAGGCUCAGAGUUUU
ensembl:lncRNA